rnacentral:tRNA from 1 species
GCGGAAGUGGUGGAGAAUUGGUAGACACGCUGGAUUUAGGUUCCAGUGCUUCACGGCGUGAGAGUUCAAGUCUCUCCUUCCGCACCA